GAUGAACGCUAGCUACAGGCUUAACACAUGCAAGUCGAGGGGAAACGAUAUUGGAAGCUUGCUUCCGAUAGGCGUCGACCGGCGCACGGGUGAGUAACGCGUAUCCAACCUGCCCACCACUUGGGAAUAACCUUGCGAAAGUAAGACUAAUGCCCAAUGAUAUCUCUAGAAGACAUCUGAAAGAGAUUAAAGAUUUAUCGGUGAUGGAUGGGGAUGCGUCUGAUUAGCUUGUUGGCGGGGUAACGGCCCACCAAGGCGACGAUCAGUAGGGGUUCUGAGGGGAAGGUCCCCCACAUUGGAACUGAGACACGGUCCAAACUCCUACGGGAGGCAGCAGUGAGGAAUAUUGGUCAAUGGGCGAGAGCCUGAACCAGCCAAGUAGCGUGCAGGAUGACGGCCCUAUGGGUUGUAAACUGCUUUUAUAUGGGAAUAAAGUGAGCCUCGUGAGGCUUUUUGCAUGUACCUUAUGAAUAAGGACCGGCUAAUUCCGUGCCAGCCGCCGCAGUAA
rnacentral:rRNA from 1 species